UGAUCAUGAUGCGUAGAUGCUUGGUGGCC
rnacentral:piRNA from 1 species